rnacentral:lncRNA from 1 species
AUGUGCUUUAUAAGAAGGGUGGUACGGAGCAAAUACAAUUAUUUGGGGGAGGGGGGGUGUCUCAUCCAUAUGUUAGAUACCAUUGUACCAUUACAAAAGCGUUCAAUGAUGUUCAGCUUUUCAGGUCAGUAUAGCCUCCUGUCAGUGUUAUGUAUCUGCCUGCAAGUUCCAGAAGGAUUUGGUGCUUCAUCUCUGACAUGCUUCAGUUCAUGUGAUACUAUCAACACCAUUAAAAAUCAGAUCAUCCAAAGGGACUGCUUCUCCAGGAGGGGAUAGACAGCCAAAAUCCUUUACCUCAGAGUUAACCAGUUCAUGAAUGGUGCUUUCCUCAAAGAUGGCAAGCUGCAAGAAAGAAACCUACCUAAAAAUACCUAUCAAACUGUCCAUCAGGUGCCCUUUAUUUUGUGGGUGCUUGAAAGAACAAAUGGUUCAAAACAAGGUUCAGAAAAUCAGAUCAUAUUAGUUGCAACUUGACUUCAGUAAGGUUAGACCUGGGGUUCCUAUUUCUUGUAUUUUUCUAGGUCACGAAGACUUUCAUGGCUGUGAAAAGCCUCUGAAAGAAAAAAUCCUCAUUAACCUCAAAUAAGACCCAACUGAUUAGAUUUUUAGUUAUCAGUGAAAGCUAAAUUACAAUCAUGUGAUGUUACAACCCCUGGCAGAGGGAGGUAAGAUUUACCCAGUGCAGACACAUCUGAACAAGAUUCUAAGUGCCUGUGAUAGUUAAUGGAGAGAAAAAAAUACAUGGCUAGGGCACGACUAUUUUCCAAGUAGUCGAUGAAAGGACAAGCAGAUAAAUCUGACUAUAAAAGUAUCUAUUUCUAUUAACUAUAAAGUUAACUUAGUAUGACUACAUUAGAUAGUCACAUCACAAAUGUCUAAAGGUGAUGAGAUCCCUCAGAGAAUGAGAUCCCACAAAUACAAAUUCGAAUACAAAUAUGGAGGUUAACCUUUGCAAAGUGAACUCUGUAGUGCCAGAGCACACAGUCAGAAAAUAAAUAAUUAUGCUGGAGAAAUCA